rnacentral:rRNA from 1 species
UGGGGAAUAUUGCACAAUGGGCGCAAGCCUGAUGCAGCCAUGCCGCGUGUGUGAAGAAGGCCUUCGGGUUGUAAAGCACUUUCAGCGGGGAGGAAGGCGGUGAGGUUAAUAACCUCAUCGAUUGACGUUACCCGCAGAAGAAGCACCGGCUAACUCCGUGCCAGCAGCCGCGGUAAUACGGAGGGUGCAAGCGUUAAUCGGAAUUACUGGGCGUAAAGCGCACGCAGGCGGUCUGUCAAGUCGGAUGUGAAAUCCUCGGGCUCAACCUGGGAACUGCAUCUGAUACUGGCAAGCUUGAGUCUCGUAGAGGGGGGUAGAAUUCCAGGUGUAGCGGUGAAAUGCGUAGAGAUCUGGAGGAAUACCGGUGGCGAAGGCGGCCCCCUGGACGAAGACUGACGCUCAGGUGCGAAAGCGUGGGGAGCAAACAGG